GAUGAACGCUGGCGGCGUGCCUAAUACAUGCAAGUCGAGCGAACAGACGAGGAGCUUGCUCCUCUGACGUUAGCGGCGGACGGGUGAGUAACACGUGGAUAACCUACCUAUAAGACUGGGAUAACUUCGGGAAACCGGAGCUAAUACCGGAUAAUAUAUUGAACCGCAUGGUUCAAUAGUGAAAGACGGUUUUGCUGUCACUUAUAGAUGGAUCCGCGCCGCAUUAGCUAGUUGGUAAGGUAACGGCUUACCAAGGCAACGAUGCGUAGCCGACCUGAGAGGGGGGACGGCCACCCCGGGAACUGACGCGCGGCCCAGCCUCCGGGGGGGGGAGCCACAGGGGAUUCUUCCGCAAGGGACGAAGGCCGGACAGGGAACGCCGGGGGGAGGAUGGAGGGUUUAGGUAUCGAAAACCUUGUUAAUAGGGAAAAAACAAAGGGGUAAGUAACCAUGCGCUUCUGGAGGGGCACUAAUAAAAAACCCAGGGCUACCUCGGGC
rnacentral:rRNA from 1 species